AGAUAUUAAUUGUGGUGCGCUUACGUGGGAUUUUAGACUGCUAAAUUAAUUAUAUUACACGGUAGAUUUAUUUAAUUAAAGCCGCGAUUUUAUUUAUUGUCAGCGAACGUUUUACUUCGCAGCGGGUGCGUAAGAAAAGCAAGGAACGGCCGUGUAAAGGUAGUGGCGGCGUGGGCCAUAGCAAGGGAGUCAGCUUUAACGGCAGAGUCGGUGUGGUGUACAGGCAGUCUCGUCAAUCCCUAUCCACUCUGAUGUCUAGGUAGAAUUUACUCUAUUAUUUCGUACUGUGCCAGGUCUUUUCUCGAGUCUUGUGUAUGUCGGCACAGGAGUUUGUGUUUAUUUAUUUAUCUUGUGACCGCUGUAUUAGCGGGGUACCCAUAGUGCAUGCAUGUCUUGAGCUUUGCUUCCGCUGUUCU